rnacentral:rRNA from 1 species
AUUGAACGCUGGCGGCAUGCCUUACACAUGCAAGUCGAACGGCAGCACGGGAGCAAUCCUGGUGGCGAGUGGCGAACGGGUGAGUAAUAUAUCGGAACGUGCCCAGUCGUGGGGGAUAACGUAGCGAAAGCUACGCUAAUACCGCAUACGAUCUAUGGAUGAAAGCGGGGGAUCGCAAGACCUCGCGCGAUUGGAGCGGCCGAUAUCAGAUUAGGUAGUUGGUGAGGUAAAGGCUCACCAAGCCGACGAUCUGUAGCUGGUCUGAGAGGACGACCAGCCACACUGGGACUGAGACACGGCCCAGACUCCUACGGGAGGCAGCAGUGGGGAAUUUUUGGACAAUGGGCGCAAGCCUGAUCCAGCAAAUGCCGCGUGCAGGAUGAAGG